rnacentral:rRNA from 1 species
AUUGAACGCUGGCGGCAGGCCUAACACAUGCAAGUCGAGCGGAUGAAGGCAGCUUGCUCCUGGAUCCAGCGGCGGACGGGUGAGUAAUGCCUAGGAAUCUCCCUGGUAGUGGGGGAUAACGUCCGCAAACGGGCGCUAAUACCGCAUACGUCCUGAGGGAGCAAGAGGGGGAUCUUCGGACCUCACGCUCUGUGAUGAGCCUAGGCCGGAUUAGCUAGUUGGUGGGGUAAAGGCCUACCAAGCCGGCCAUCCGUAACUGGACUGAGAGGAUGAUCAGUCACACUGGAGCUGAGACACGGUCCAGACUCCUACGGGAGGCAGCAGUGGGGAAUAUUGGACAGUGGGCGAAAGCAUGAUCCAGCCAUGCCGCGUGUGUGAAGAAGGUCUUCGGAUUGUAAAGCACGUUAAGUUGGGAGGAAGGGCAGUAAGUUAAUACCUUGCUGUAUUGACGGUACCAACAGAAUAAGCACCGGCUAACUUCGUG